rnacentral:rRNA from 1 species
UCCAGACUCCUACGGGAGGCAGCAGUGGGGGAUAUUGGACAAUGGGGGAAACCCUGAUCCAGCGACGCCGCGUGAGUGAAGAAGUAUUUCGGUAUGUAAAGCUCUGUCAGCAGGGAAGAAAGAAAUGACGGUACCUGACCAAGAAGCCCCGGCUAACUACGUGCCAGCAGCCGCGGUAAUACGUAGGGGGCAAGCGUUAUCCGGAAUUACUGGGUGUAAAGGGAGCGUAGACGGCGAUGCAAGUCUGGAGUGAAAGGCGGGGCCCAACCCCCGGACUGCUCUGGAAACUGUGCGGCUAGAGUACUGGAGGGGCAGGCGGAAUUCCUAGUGUAGCGGUGAAAUGCGUAGAUAUUAGGAGGAACACCAGUGGCGAAGGCGGCCUGCUGGACAGUAACUGACGUUGAGGCUCGAAAGCGUGGGGAGCAAACAGGAUUAGAUACCCCAGUA